CCUACGGGCGGCAGCAGUAGGGAAUAUUGGACAAUGGGGGAAACCCUGAUCCAGCGACGCCGCGUGAGUGAAGAAGUAUUUCGGUACGUAAAGCUCUAUCAGCAGGAAAGAAAAUGACGGUACCUGACUAAGAAGCCCCUGCUAAAUACGUGCCAGCAGCCGCGGUAAUACGGAGGGGGCAAGCGUUAUCCGGAUUUACUGGGUGGAAAGGGAGCGUAGACGGCAGGGCAAGUCGGGAGUGAAAUGCCGGGGCCCAACCCCGGAACUGCUCUGGAAACUGGGAAGCUGGAGUGCAGGAGAGGUAAGCGGAAUUCCUGGUGGAGGGGUGAAAUGCGUAGAUAUCAGGAGGAACAUCGGCGGCGAAGGCGACUAACUGGACUGUAACUGACGUUGAGGCUCGAAGGCGUGGGGAGCAAACAGGAUUAGAUACCCGGGUAGUC
rnacentral:rRNA from 1 species